rnacentral:rRNA from 1 species
GACGAACGCUGGCGGCGUGCCUAAUACAUGCAAGUAGAACGCUGAAGGAGGAGCUUGCUCUUCUGGAUGAGUUGCGAACGGGUGAGUAACGCGUAGGUAACCUGCCUGGUAGCGGGGGAUAACUAUUGGAAACGAUAGCUAAUACCGCAUAACAUUGACUAUUGCAUGAUAGUCAAUUGAAAGGUGCAAAUGCACCACUACCAGAUGGACCUGCGUUGUAUUAGCUAGUUGGUGGGGUAACGGCUCACCAAGGCGACGAUACAUAGCCGACCUGAGAGGGUGAUCGGCCACACUGGGACUGAGACACGGCCCAGACUCCUACGGGAGGCAGCGUAGGGAAUCUUCGGCAAUGGACGGAAGUCUGACCGAGCAACGCCGCGUGAGUGAAGAAGGUUUUCGGAUCGUAAAGCUCUGUUGUAAGAGAAGAACGAGUGUGAGAGGGAAAGUUCACACUGGACGGUU